rnacentral:rRNA from 1 species
AAACGACUCUCGGCAACGGAUAUCUCGGCUCUCGCAUCGAUGAAGAACGUAGCGAAAUGCGAUACUUGGUGUGAAUUGCAGAAUCCCGUGAACCAUCGAGUUUUUGAACGCAAGUUGCGCCCGAAGCCUUCGGCUGAGGGCACGUCUGCCUGGGCG